CGCCUCCUUUCCGCCUGCGUUGGAGAGAGGUACCAGAAGGAAUGAAAGGACUGGGGCUUGUCUCCAUGGCAACUGAAAGAAAGAGGUGGUUUGUAUUUCCACAUCUCCAACAGGGAGUCUGGACACAAACUGACAAUACUCGUGAAAUCAACACCCAGAUGAGGAGGUAGACCAGCACUCCAGGAUGCCCCUCCCCAGUAUCCCUCCCCUGUUAACCGUUCCCCUAGCCUCUAACACCAUGGAUCAGUUUUGCUUAUUUCUGUACUUUUUGUAGGAAUAGAAUCAUACAAUGAAUUCUCUCUUGAUGGUGA